ensembl:misc_RNA Metazoa_SRP Metazoan signal recognition particle RNA
GCCGGGCGUGGUGGCGCAUGCCUGUAGUCCCAGCUACUUGGGAGGCUGAGACAGGAGAAUGGCGUGAACCCAGGAGGAGGAGCUUGCAGUGAGCCAGUAUCACGCCACUGCACUCCAGCCUGGGUGAUAGAGCCAGACUCCGUCUCAA